rnacentral:rRNA from 1 species
GACGAACGCUGGCGGCGUGCUUAACACAUGCGAGUCGAACGGAAAGGCCCUGCUUUUGUGGGGUGCUCGAGUGGCGAACGGGUGAGUAACACGUAAGUAACCUGCCCUUGACUUUGGGAUAACUUCAGGAAACUGGGGCUAAUACCGGAUAGGAGCUCCUGCUGCAUGGUGGGGGUUGGAAAGUUUCGGCGGUUGGGGAUGGACUCGCGGCUUAUCAGCUUGUUGGUGGGGUAGUGGCUUACCAAGGCUUUGACGGGUAGCCGGCCUGAGAGGGUGACCGGCCACAUUGGGACUGAGAUACGGCCCAGACUCCUACGGGAGGCAGCAGUGGGGAAUAUUGCACAAUGGGCGGAAGCCUGAUGCAGCAACGCCGCGUGCGGGAUGACGGCCUUCGGGUUGUAAACCGCUUUCGCCUGUGACGAAGCGUGAGUGACGGUAAUGGGUAAAGAAGCACCAGCUAACUACGUG